rnacentral:rRNA from 1 species
AGAGCGAACGCUGGCGGCAGGCUUAACACAUGCAAGUCGAACGCGUGUAGCAAUACACGAGUGGCGCACGGGUGAGUAACGCGUGGGCAUCUGCCUCAUGGUUCGGAAUAACCCCCGGGAAACUGGGGCUAAUACCGGAUGGUACCUUCGGGUUAAAGAUUUAUCGCCAUGAGAUGAGCCCGCGUCCGAUUAGCUAGUUGGUGAGGUAACGGCUCACCAAGGCGACGAUCGGUAGCUGGUCUGAGAGGACGAUCAGCCACACUGGGACUGAGACACGGCCCAGACUCCUACGGGAGGCAGCAGUGGGGAAUAUUGGACAAUGGGGGCAACCCUGAUCCAGCCAUGCCGCGUGAGUGAUGAAGGCCUUCGGGUUGUAAAGCUCUUUUAGCGGGGACGAUGAUGACGGUACCCGCAGAAUAAGCCCGGCUAACUUCGUGCCAGCAGCCGC